GGACCUCAGAUCAGGCAAGAUUACCCGCUGAGUUUAAGCAUAUCACUAG
rnacentral:rRNA from 1 species